CAUUGAGUGAGGACGCUUUUCGCGGACUUUCGUCGUAAGAAAAAAAGCAAGGUCCUGCGUACAUAUUAAUAUCGAGAGUGCCGAUUUAAACGUCGUGUCGUUAUCGCAAAGUGUUGAAUAAUAUCGAAACGCGAUUUAAUCGGACAUCGGGAAUGUUAGAUCUUGAUGACGAAUGUCGAAAUAAUCCGGCGGCGACAAGCAUAUAAAUCUGCAUAUCGGAACGUGUCGCGAGUGUUAAUCAAAUGCUCCCGAGGAAUAUCGUUUUUCGAAAUCAGCCCAAAUCAUCGAACAGAUCAUCGAGAGAUCUUCAUGGUGUUAAUUAAGAAAUGAUAUUUUCAUCCACUUGGCUCUUACUCACGGAAUAAGUCUCUGACGCGCCGAGCACCCUGACCAACUAAGAUUUCGUCAAAUUCAGGACCUGCCACAUGGAAGAACGGUACACCAGCUUCUCCAGCGACUGCGCGUGCUAAC